GUGGGGAAUAUUGCACAAUGGGGGAAACCCUGAUGCAGCAACGCCGCGUGAGUGAUGACGGCCUUCGGGUUGUAAAGCUCUGUCUUCAGGGACGAUAAUGACGGUACCUGAGGAGGAAGCCACGGCUAACUACGUGCCAGCAGCCGCGGUAAUACGUAGGUGGCAAGCGUUGUCCGGAUUUACUGGGCGUAAAGGGAGCGUAGGCGGACUUUUAAGUGAGAUGUGAAAUACCCGGGCUUAACCUGGGUGCUGCAUUUCAAACUGGAAGUCUAGAGUGCAGGAGAGGAGAAUGGAAUUCCUAGUGUAGCGGUGAAAUGCGUAGAGAUUAGGAAGAACACCAGUGGCGAAGGCGAUUCUCUGGACUGUAACUGACGCUGAGGCUCGAAAGCGUGGGGAGCAAACAGGAUUAGAAACCCUGGUAGUCC
rnacentral:rRNA from 1 species